rnacentral:rRNA from 1 species
UACGUAGGGUGCAAGCGUUGUCCGGAAUUAUUGGGCGUAAAGAGCUCGUAGGCGGUUUGUCGCGUCUGCUGUGAAAACUCGGGGCUUAACCCCGGGCCUGCAGUGGGUACGGGCAGACUAGAGUGCGGUAGGGGAGACUGGAAUUCCUGGUGUAGCGGUGAAAUGCGCAGAUAUCAGGAGGAACACCGGUGGCGAAGGCGGGUCUCUGGGCCGUAACUGACACUGAGGCACGAAAGUGUGGGGAUCAAACAGG